rnacentral:tRNA from 1 species
UGGCUCAGUCGGUAGAGCAUGGGACUGUUGAUCUCAGGGUCUUGAGUUCAAGCCUCAC